rnacentral:rRNA from 1 species
UACGUAGGGGGCAAGCGUUGUCCGGAAUCAUUGGGCGUAAAGAGCGUGUAGGCGGCCAGAAAAGUCCGCUGUGAAAACUCGAGGCUCAACUUCGAGCUGUCGGUGGAAACUUUCUGGCUAGAGUCCGGAAGAGGAGAAUGGAAUUCCUGGUGUAGCGGUGAAAUGCGCAGAUAUCAGGAGGAACACCGGUGGCGAAGGCGGUUCUCUGGGCAUUACCUGACGCUGAGGAGCGAAAGUGUGGGGAGGCGAACAGG